rnacentral:rRNA from 1 species
AAGAAGAAGGUUAUUUUAGGUGUAUGAAAGGUUAAGGAAUUUUUAAGAAAGAAAUUUCAUUUUUAGUCGGGAAAAAAGUAUUUUAAUUAUAGUGAAUUAGUAUUGAAAAAGAAAUUUUUAAUUUGAUUAAAAGAAAAAUUUUAUUUUUGUACCUUGUGUAUCAGGGUUUAUUGAAAAAAAUUUAAAAAUUUAAAUUUCUCGAAUUUAAAAGAGCUAUAUUUUUAUAUCUUUUAAUGUAGAACAAUUAUUGUAAAUAUAAGUAUAGUAGUGAAACGCUAGUCGAUUUUGAAUAUAUCUAGUUUUUUAAGAAAAAAAUUUAAUUUUAUUUUUAAAAUAGUAUAUAAUUUUUUAUUUAAUUAUAUGUUUUUAAAAUUUAAUAUAGGUAGGGUUGAGCUUAUCUAUAAAAGAGUAUAAAUAUAUAAAUUAUUGUAAAAAAAUAGGAUUGGAAAUUUUUAUUUUUAUUAGUUUGUUAAAAUUAUUUUAUUGAUUUAAAGAUUUAUAUAUAUAUUUUGCUUAUUUUAUUAAAAUAAAUUUUUUAAUUUAUUAAAAAUUGUAAUUAUGAUAAAAUUAGUAUAAUUUUAUGUUUUAUUUAAUUAGGUUUGUUAGGUAAGAUUAAGGAACUCGGCAAAUUUAAAUUUUUUACCUGUUUAUUAAAAACAUGUCUUUUUGAGUAUAAUUUAAAGUCUCGCCUGCCCUAUGAUUGAUUAAUUAAAUGGCCGCGGUAUCUUGACCGUGCAAAGGUAGCAUAAUCAUUAGUUUUUUAAUUGAAAGCUGGAAUGAAAGGUUGGAUAAGAAAAUUACUGUCUCAAUCUUAAUUAAUUAGAAUUUUAUUUUUAAGUAAAAAAGCUUAAAUUAAUAUAAAAGACGAGAAGACCCUAUAGAGUUUUAUAAAAAUAUGUAUUUAAUUAUAUUAGGAAUUAUUUUAAUAAAUAAAUUUUUUUAUUUGGUUGGGGUGAUUGAAAAAUUUAAAAAACUUUUUUUUUAUUGGUACACUUAUUUGUGAGUGAAUGAUCCUAUAAGUUUAGAUUAAAAGAAUAAAUUACCUUAGGGAUAACAGCGUAAUUUUUUUUUAGAGUUCUAAUCGAAAAAAAAGAUUGCGACCUCGAUGUUGGAUUAAAAAGAAAUCUUGGUGUAGCAGCUAGGAGUGUUAGGUCUGUUCGACCUUUAAAAUUUUACAUGAUCUGAGUUUAAACCGGUGUAAGCCAGGUUGGUUUCUAUCUUUAUAAGAUUAUUAUAUUUUAGUACGAAAGGACCAUAUAUAAGUUUUAGAAAUUUAUAAUAGAAUGCCAUUA